CGUGAGUGAUGAAGGCCUUCGGGCCGUAAAGCUCUGUCAAGUGGGAAGAACCUAUGCAGUGUUAAUGUCACUGUGUACUGACGGUACCACUGAAGGAAGCACCGGCUAACUCCGUGCCAGCAGCCGCGGUAAUACGGGGGGUGCAAGCGUUAUUCGGAAUCAUUGGGCGUAAAGAGCACGUAGGCGGCCUGGUAAGUCAGAUGUGAAAGCCCGGGGCUUAACCCCGGAAGUGCAUUUGAUACUGUCAGGCUUGAGUGUGGGAGAGGGAAGUGGAAUUCCUGGUGUAGAGGUGAAAUUCGUAGAUAUCAGGAGGAACACCGGUGGCGAAGGCGACUUCCUGGACCAAUACUGACGCUGAGGUGCGAAGGCGUGGGUAGCAAACAGGAUUAGAUACCCUGGUAGUCCACGCAGUAAACGUUGUUCACUAGGUGUAGCGGGUAUUGACCCCUGCUGUGCCGCAGUUAACGCAUUAA
rnacentral:rRNA from 1 species